GCCCGCGUAGCUCAACGAAUAGAGUGCUUGCUGCGGAGCGGGAGGUCGAAAGGUUCAUAUCCUUUCGCGGGCA
rnacentral:tRNA from 1 species